AGCAGCCGCGGUAAUUCCAGCUCCAAUAGCGUAUAUUAAAGUUGUUGCAGUUAAAAAGCUCGUAGUUGAAUUUCGGGGUCAAUACGUCGGUCGUGCCUCGGUACGUACUAACGUUAUUGAUCCCUCCCUUCUGACGAACCGUGAUGUCAUUAAUUUGGUGUUGCGGGGAAUCAGGACCAUUACCUUGAAAAAAUUAGAGUGUUUAAAGCAGGCAAUCGCUCGAAUACAUUAGCAUGGAAUAAUGAAAUAGGACGUUCGAACCUAUUUUGUUGGUUUCUAGGAUCGACGUAAUGAUUAAUAGGGAUAGUUGGGGGCAUUAGUAUUCAAUUGUCAGAGGUGAAAUUCUUGGAUUUAUUGAAGACUAACUACUGCGAAAGCAUUUGCCAAGGAUGUUUUCAUUAAUCAAGAACGAAAGUUAGGGGAUCGAAGACGAUCAGAUACCGUCGUAGUCUUAACCAUAAACUAUGCCGACUAGGGAUCGGAUGAUGUUAAUUUUAUAAUGACUCAUUCGGCGCCUUAC
rnacentral:rRNA from 1 species